GAUGAACGCUGGCGGCGUGCCUAAUACAUGCAAGUCGAGCGAACGGACGAGAAUCUUGCUUCUCUGAUGUUAGCGGCGGACGGGUGAGUAACACGUGGAUAACCUACCUAUAAGACUGGGAUAACUUCGGGAAACCGGAGCUAACACCGGAUAAUAUUUUGAACCGCAUGGUUCAAAAGUGAAAGACGGUCUUGCUGUCACUUAUAGAUGGAUCCGCGCUGCAUUAGCUAGUUGGUAAGGUAACGGCUUACCAAGGCAACGAUGCAUAGCCGACCUGAGAGGGUGAUCGGCCACACUGGAACUGAGACACGGUCCAGGCUCCUACGGGAGGCAGCAGUAGGGAAUCUUCCGCAAUGGGCGAAAGCCUGACGGAGCAACGCCGCGUGAGUGAUGAAGGUCUUCGGAUCGUAAAACUCUGUUAUUAGGGAAGAACAUAUGUGUAAGUAACUGUGCACAUCUUGACGGUACCUAAUCAGAAAGCCACGGCUAACUACGUG
rnacentral:rRNA from 1 species